rnacentral:lncRNA from 1 species
CGAUGAGACUUCCUCUUUGAAGAUCACAGGUGAGAAGAUUAGAUGCUUUCUCGGAAGCCCAGCAACCUGAUGGGAUUGUGGAGUGAGCCAGACCCAAAUCAGAACUUCAUCCCUGCAUGGUUUAUUUUGCUUGUUUGGCAAACUUGCCCCGCAGGCGCCCAAUGGCAUUACACCUCAGCCAGAGAAGAAGCUCUUAAGGGAUCAGGUGCCUCAUUUCACCCAUGGGCUGCUCCAGCAUUUCCAGCCUCCUCACUCCUGACACACACAAGCACGUGCUCUCUGUGGAGUCUUUGCACUUCUGCUUUCCCUCCUGAAAUGCUCUUCCUCUCAGUGUCUUCAUCCUACCUCCCUCAGCUCUUUCAUCUCGUUUAA